UCCACCCCCAGACACACACGACUCCAGAGACAAUCCGGGUCGGGGUUUCCAGAGCGCCUGAACUUAUCCGAGAUCCCUCGCCCCACUUGAUGGACUGGCCUCCGUUCUUGGUCUCUCCUUGCAUUUCCUCGGUUUUUUCAGAGAAAGAAGAAGAAAAUGCUGCAGAAGCCGUUGGCUCGCUGCGUCUGCGCGUGGAAUUCCCCCCAUUUUUCGCUAUCUAGGGAAAGGAAUGCCCUACUUGUUUCCUUUAGUCUCUCAGGGGCCAUACUUUGUUUCUCUACCAAAUCCCUAAACCCUAAAAAACUCUCUCUUUCUGCUCGAAGAGCCACCACGCGUGAAGUGUCUACGGCAAAUCAGGAUAAGGAGACCUCUCCACUCCUAGUCAAAUCACCCUGGUUUGGAUUUCUGGCUCCACCAUCAGUGAUGGCAGAUGAAAACCAACCAACACUAUUUCCUAGAUCUUCAGCAGUGAUCAAUUGUGUGAGUGAGGCUUCUUAUUCUUUUGUGAAUUCAAGAUCUUCUAACCUGUCUACUUGCAUUAACCUAUUGAGAAAAGCUACAGAUACAGGACAACUUAAGGAUGGCAAGAUGGUGCAUGCUCAUAUGUUGAGAACAAGGUUGGAAGUUUGCCUAGUUGGAGCAAACACUCUUAUCAAUUUCUAUGCCAAGUGUGGUUUCAUGGCUUUUGCAUCCCAAGUUUUUUAUGGAAUGCAUGAGAAGAAUGUUGUGUCUUGGUGCUCAUUGAUGGCUGGGUACUUGCAUAAUGGGCACGCAAGAGAAGUACUAACUCUGUUUGAGAUUAUGGUAGUUGAUGGAUUGAAGCCUAAUCAUUUUGUUCUUUCGAUGGUUCUUCGGUCAUGUUCGACUCUGAUGGACUUCAGCAGAGGGAAACAACUCCAUGCAUAUGCACUGAAGCAUGGUUUUAUAUCAUAUAUGUAUGUUCAGAAUGCAAUUCUUGUCAUGUAUUGCAAGAGUGGUGGUUUGGAAGAGUCCUUAAAAUUCUAUCAUGGAAUGAAAGAACAGGAUGUUUCAUCAUCUAAUGUCAUGAUUUCAGCUUUUUUAAAGCAUGGUUGUCAUGUUGAGGCUCUAGAAUUCCUUAGGAGGUCACUUGUGAACCAUAAGGGUUGGGAUGAUAUUGCACAUGUCACUGCUCUUAAUUUAUGUUCUUGCAUGAACUAUUUAAGGCUAGGACAAGAAGUCCAUAAUCAGAUUUUGAAGGCUCAUAAGGAACUUAAUGUUUUUGUUGGUUCUGCUCUUGUCGAUAUGUAUGGAAAGUGUGGUAAAUUUGAAUAUGCUUGUAAAAUUUUUGAACUUUUGAGUCAUCGGAACGUUGUGCUCUGGACAGCGCUUACUGCAGCUUAUGCUCAAAAUGGGCUUUUUGAAGAAGCUCUGAGUCUUCUGUCUGAUAUGUGCUUUGAAGGUGUUCAACCAAAUGAAUUUACAUAUGCUGCAUUAUUGAAUUCUUGUGCAUGCUUAGCAGCUUUAGAUCAUGGAACUCAGCUGCACUCUCUUGCCAAGAAGAUGGGUUAUAGCAUGUGCUUGCCUGUUGGAAAUGCAUUGAUCAACAUGUACUCAAAGAGUGGCAAUAUUGGGUAUGCACGCAAGGUCUUUGACUGUAUGGCUAAUAGAGAUGUGAUUUCAUGGAAUUCAAUGAUUUCAGGUUAUUCCCAACAUGGUCUUGGGGAACAAGCUUUGCAGAUAUUUCACCAUAUGCUUUUGACUGAUAAAGCUCCAACUCAUGUUACCUUUGUUGGGGUCCUAAGUGCUUGUGGUCAUAUCGGCCUUGUAAAUGAGGGUUUCUAUUAUUUUAAUCGUUUGAUGAAAAAAUUUAAUGUCGUCCCUGGUGUCGAGCACUAUACCUGCAUGGUUGGUCUUCUGGGUAGAGCUGGGUUGUUUGAUGAGGCUUAUUCUCUUAUCAAAUCAAUGCCUAUUCAUUGUGAUGUGGUUGUGUGGAGGACUCUUCUUAAUGCCUGCCAAGUUUACAAGAAUGCAAAUUUAGGAAAGAAAAUUGCAGGUCUGAUCCUUCAAACUUAUCCAGAUGAUGCAGGAACUUACAUACUUCUAUCAAAUAUUUAUGCUAAAUCAACAAGAUGGACUGAAGUGACUGAGAUACGAGAGAAAAUGAAGGCCAAGCAUGUCAAGAAAGAACCAGGAGUAAGCUGGAUACAGGUGCAAAAUUGCACCCAUGUUUUUGUUUCAAAGGAUAGAGAGCAUCCACAAUUGCAUCAGAUACAUGAGAAACUGGCUGAGGUAUUGGCUGAGAUAAGAGUUGUGGGAUAUGUUCCUGACAUGGCCAGUGUCUUGCAUGAUGUUGAUGAUGAACAGAAAGAAGAAUGCCUUAGGUAUCAUAGUGAAAAGCUGGCUGUAUCUUUUGGUCUCAUAAGCAGUCCUCCUGGAGCAACUAUCCGCAUCUUCAAGAACCUUCGUGUUUGUGAUGAUUGUCAUGUUGCAAUGAAGUUUAUUUCUGUUACCACAAAGCGGGAAAUAAUACUUAGAGAUGCAAAUAGGUUCCACUCAUUUAGUCAUGGAAUUUGUUCCUGUGGGGAUUAUUGGUAAUUAUCUGGUGGUCAUUUAUAGUGUGGUAAGUACAUGAAGGCGCUAACCAAGAAGAGAGGAAUAUUCAUCUUACAAAUGUGUGGUAUCAAUUUGAGAAGAACCACAAUCUUACCCAUAAAGCAAAUGAAAUGGGUUUUGGAAUUUUGGACUACCUAGCACUCAACUACAACUACCUGCAAACUUGCUUCUAUUUCUCACUUCUGAUACAUUUCUAGUUUGCAUCACAUCCCUAGCAGUGGUGUGAGCUUGCCGCGUAUCAACACGACAUGGGCUAUCCGAAGCGGCGUCGAUCCUGUUCGAAGAUAGAAGCUAUUCGAACCUCCGCAAGAUGGAAGCACUUUUGACGAUUUCCUGAAUGUGGCCCUUAGAUGUACCUCCCUGUCCUCAAGUGUAGGACUAGAAUUUCAGCUUAUACAAGGGGCGAGCAAUGGAACCAUGGACACUUUAGUGAGAUAUAUUACAGGAAAGUCACGGGCAACUGAGGUGGCUCAUGCGUAGCAUAUUGUGCAGAGAGGAGAUACUGCAAUUGAUGCUACUUGUGGCAACGGCUUUGACACAUUGGCAUUGCUGAAAAUGGUGUCAGAUGAGUCAAGGAAUGGUUGUGUCCUUGGUUUGGAUGUGCAGCAGUCUGCUCUUG